GGAGUAGCUUGUCAUGAUAAUGGAGGAGUGAAGAUGGGGCUGGAGAGUGAACGUAUGUGAGUUAGAGGAGGUCCAGACAAGCAGAAAAAAAGAAUGAAACAGAUUUAAAAUGGCUUCAGAAGUUACCUCUGAGAGUAUUUGAUCUUUGUUUUGGUAACACUGGGUCAUGUCAUUCAGGUUGGCUAAAAGCCCUUGCUCUUCAAAAGAGUUGUCAAAGAUUUAUUUUAUAAAAAUGUAAGUAAAAGACAAGCCAAACACUUUGUGUUUCAUGUUUUUUAGGUCUUUGUGUCAGCAGUAAUUUCUUGCUGUCUUAUUUAUUAUACACUAAGUAUUUCUAGAUAGAAAUUACUUCUGUCUUCUGAUUGAUACCUAUAUGAUACCCAACUAUUUCUCUCUGUAUGCGUUGUCUGUGUAAAUGUACAGGACCCAGUGGACCCUGGAGCCCAUUCCCAUCCUGCACAGCAAGAGCAGCCCAUUGCUGGCCCAGGUCAAGAUUUACCCAACAAAAACCCUGAUGGGAAACAGAGAAGUUCAGAAAGGUAAGAUGUUGAUAGGAACAACUGCUGACUUCAGCGUGCUCCAACACAGAGCUGGACUACUUCGGAGAAAUCCAGAUCAGAACUCAGCCAGCCUCCCUGUAAAUCACUAAGAGCAAAACUCUCAGCAGAAGUGCCACCCUGCGCUGCAACACUAUGGAUUAUCCUGGAGUAAACAGCAUGAGAGCAUGACCGUGUCAGCCCUGCCCCUCCCAGAAUAAACAUCCAACCC
rnacentral:lncRNA from 1 species